GUCUGUUUGAAGUUUUAAAAAGUCUGGCCUGCCCACUGAUAAAAGUUUUUAAGGGCCGCAGUAUUGUGACUGUGCUAAGGUAGCAUAAUCAUUAGGUUUUUAAAUGAGAUCUUGAAUGAAUGGUUGAACAAAGAAAAAGCUGUCUUAAGUAUAAAGUUUGAAUUUUACUUUUAAGUGAGAAGGCUUAAAUAAUUUAAGGGGACGAUAAGACCCUAUAAAACUUUACAUUAAAUUCAUAUUUAAUUAAAUUUAAAAUAUAAGGAUUUAAAAUGAAAAAUUGUUUUGUUGGGGAGACAAAGGUAGAAAUUGUAGUAGCUGCUUAAAUGAAAAACAUUUUUAGGUGGAGAGUAGAAGUUCUUAAUUAAAAAUUUCAAGAUUAAGUUACUUUAGGGAUAACAGUGUAAUUUUUUUUGAGAGUUCAUAUUGAAAAAAAAGUUUGCAACCUCGAUGUUGAAUUAAAAUAUCUAUAUAAUGAAGCUGUUAUAUUAGAGGGUCUGUUCGACCUUUAAUUUUUUACAUGAUUUGAGUUCAAAUCGGCGUGAG
rnacentral:rRNA from 1 species